GUUUGUGGCUCAGUGAUAGAGCGCUUGCCUAGCAUGCAUGAGGCUCUGGGUUCGAUCCUCAGCACCACA
rnacentral:tRNA from 1 species